AUAUUUGAGAACAUGAUGUUGGUUCAGAUCAAAUGCUAUGUAGAAGCAUAACACAUGCAAGUAUAAAUAUAUAUUUUUUCGAAAAUAUAUAUAUAUGCGUUAAGGUGAGUGAUAUAAGAAUAUACCUCUAAAAGGUAUAUCUUAUUCAGAUGUAGGUAUUAGAGAAAUCUAGCCAUCGAACUGGAGCCGGCGAUUAUCGUCUCAACGGCCACAUUGAUAUAUAUCAACUCUUAUUAAGAGCAGCAGUGGGGAAUCUUUGACAAUGGUCUCACGACUGAUCAAGCUAUCUACGAGAAGGAAUUUUAUAUAAAGUUAACUUUUGUUAACUUUAUAUAUAUAAUUUUUAUAUCACUUCGGUGGUAUAAAAUAUAUAUAAUAAUUAAAACAUAGGUAUAUACUAUAAACUUCUAAGUAAUUAUAAUAAUGAUAUACAUUACGAAAGAGUCCUAACUAAAACAUGUGCCAGCAGCUGCGGUUAGACAUGGAGGGCUAGCAUUGUUCAAAAUGGCUUAAAGUAUCUGUAGAACGUAAAGAAAUCAUAAAAUCUAUAAGAUUUAUAAAUGAUGUAUUUAUAGAAUAAAUUAAGGGUAAUAAGAAAUAAAGUUAUAGAGAUAAAAUUCUUCGAAAACAUUAUGACUACAAAGAGAUUACUUAGAUUUAUUGACGUUGUGAGAUGAAGGCUACGGUAGCGACAUGGAUUCGAUACCCAUUUAGUCGUAGCAGUAAACUAUGAGUACAAUAUUAGAAAAGUGAAAAUCAAUAGUACUCCGCCUGACUAGUACGCUCGCAAGGGUGAAAUACAAGACAUUAGACGGUUGUAGUCCCUAGCAGUGGAACAUGUCAUUUAAUUGGAUGAUCCCCCUCAAACCUUACCAUCUCUUGAAUUAUUAACCGGCGUUACAUCGUUGUCGUCAGUUCAUGCCGUGAGGUAUUAUAUUAAGUUAUUAAAUGAACGUAACCCUUUCUCUUACAUAGAGAUAUUUAUUAUUUUACGAUAAUAGGAAGUAGAGGUUGAAGACUAAUCAUGAUGACCCUAAUGAGAUGGGCUAUAGACGUGUUACAAUAUUAUUUACAAUUAUAGUAUAUCUUUUAUAUUUUUAAAUAUACUUAUUUAAAUGAUAAGAAUAUGACAUAGUUUUCUUUUAUGGAUUGUAAUCUGAAAUUCGGUUACAUAAAGGAGGAAUUGCUAGUAAUCGCGAACUAGAGUGUCGCGGUGAAAUUUUUUGCUACUUCGUACUAACCACUCAUCAACAGCAAGAAAUUUUUAUUUUCCUCUUGAUUUAAUAUCCCCUUGGGGAUAUCUACUUUAUAUGAGGUUAAUUGAUAAAGGACCUGCUGUAAGUUGAAAUACGGUUCGGUUAGGGGAACCUGAUCGGGAUUUAUAUUUUAU
rnacentral:rRNA from 1 species